rnacentral:rRNA from 1 species
CGGAUCGCAGGCUGCAACCCGUCUGCGUGAAGCCGGAAUUGCUAGUAAUCGCGGAUCAGCAUGCCGCGGUGAAUACGUUCCCGGGCCUUGUACACACCGCCCGUCACACCAUGAGAGCCGGGGGGACCCGAAGUCCGUAGCCUAACCGCAAGGAGGGCGCGGCCGAAGGCAAAACUGGUGAUUGGGGUGAAGUCGUAACAAGGUAUC